GAAAGUAAUGAAGGGCGUACGGUGGAUGCCUAGGCUCUUACAGGCGAUGAAGGACGUGAUAAGCUGCGAAAAGCCGCGGUGAGGCGCAAAUGGCCCUUGACCCGCGGAUCUCCGAAUGGGACAACCCAAUAUCUUGAAGAGAUAUUAUCCCGCCGGUGCGGGAGGCGAACGCGGGGAACUGAAACAUCUUAGUACCCGCAGGAAAAGAAAAUAAAGAAUGAUUCCCCCAGUAGUGGCGAGCGACCGGGGAAGAGCCCAAACCGACGUUGUCUCGGCAUCGUCGGGGUUGUAGGACCGCGCCAUCGCAAGAAAGGCCGUGAGUGGAAGCGACUGGAAAGCCGCGCCAUAGAGGGUGACAGCCCCUUACACGAAGCAGCCUGAAGCGUAGCGGACUCCUGAGUAGCGCGGGACACGAGUAAUCCUGUGUGAAUCCGCCGGGCCCAUCCGGCAAGGCUAAAUACUCGUAAGAGACCGAUAGUGAACCAGUACCGUGAGGGAAAGGUGAAAAGGACCCCUUGCAGGGGAGUGAAAGAGUUCCUGAAACCGUACGCCUACAAGCGGUCGGAGCAUCUUGAAUGAUGUGACGGCGUGCCUUUUGCAUAAUGAACCUACGAGUUGCCGUCACCAGCGAGGUUAAGUGCGACGACGCACCGAGCCGCAGCGGAAGCGAGUCUUAAAAGGGCGCGAUAGUUGGUGGAGGCAGACGCGAAACCGAGUGAUCUACACUUGUCCAGGAUGAAGUCCCGGUAACACGGGAUGGAGGUCCGCACCAAUAAGCGUUGAAAAGCUUCUGGAUGAGGUGAGUGUAGGAGUGAAAGGCCAAUCAAACUCGGAGAUAGCUCGUACUCCCCGAAAGGCAUUUAGGUGCCGCCUGUGGCGUUCCCGACGUGAGGUAGAGCGACUGAUAGGAUGCGAGGGCUUCACCGCCUAUCAAGUCCUGACAAACUCCGAAUGCACGUCGGCCAAGCCAUGGAGUAAGGGCAUGGGUGCUAAGGUCCGUGCCCGAGAGGAGAAGAAUCCAGACCACCGGCUAAGGUCCCGAAAUACUGGUUAAGUUAGACUAACGCAGUCCGGCCCCCAAGACAGCUAGGAUGUUGGCUUGGAAGCAGCCAUUCAUUCAAAGAGUGCGUAACAGCUCACUAGUCGAGGAGCUGGGCGUGGAUAAUAAUCGGGUAUAAAACCAGUUACCGAAGCCGUGGGAUGCUCAAGCAUCGGUAGGGGAGCAUUGCAUGCGGCUUGGAAGGCGGGGCGCGAGCCCCUCUGGAGCGCAUGGAAACGCAAAUGUAGGUAUAAGUAACGACAAGGGGGGUGGGAUGCCCCCCCGCCGAAAGACCAAGGUUUCCUGAACAACGCUAAUCGGUUCAGGGUCAGUCGGGUCCUAAGCAUAAGCCGUAUGGCGAGGGCGAUGGAUGAAACGGUUAAUAUUCCGUUACUGUCUUGGUGUGUGACGCGGCGACGGAGUAGUGACACGGCCGCCUCCUGACGGAAAAGGGGGUUGAAGCGCAAAGGUGUCGAGGAAGGCAGGCAAAUCCACCUUCCGAGCCGAAGCGCGAUAGUACGCCGGGCCCUUUGGGGCAAGGCGAUAGUGCCGGUAAUCAGACUUCCAAGAAAACCCGCUAAACUUCAGCACCAAGUCACCCGUACUCCAAACGGACACACGUGGUCGGGUAGAAUAUACUAAGGCGCUUGGGAGAUUCACGGUUAAGGAACUAGGCAAAUUGACCCCGUACCUUCGGAAUAAGGGGUCCUCGCUUUUGCGAGGCGCAGAGAAUAGGUCCAGGCAACUGUUUAACAAAAACACAGGGCUGUGCCAAUUUGAAAGAAGAAGUAUACAGCCUGACACCUGCCCGGUGCCGGAAGGUUAAGAGGAGAGCUCAUCAGCGAUGAGAAGGCUUGAAUUGAAGCCCCGGUAAACGGCGGCCGUAACUAUAACGGUCCUAAGGUAGCGAAAUUCCUUGUCGGGUAAGUUC
rnacentral:rRNA from 1 species